rnacentral:lncRNA from 1 species
UGCAACAUUUAACAAAUACAAAAUAAGUCUUAGAUUUCUAGAACUGUCAGUACACAGGAUUCCCAAGUUGCUCUAUACAGAGAAGCAGGUUCAUCAAUUUUCAAGGAAAGCCACAUAGUCGGUCAAUCUGGCCAACUGCUGUUCAUUUGGAAUUGGUGGAACUGGAGCAGGUUCUGAUGAAGGAAUAAAUCUGUUAAAGGAAGCGUCCAGUACACCUGGCUUUUUAGGCAUUACCAUACGAGUGGAGAAGUCUGCUUGCCAGCCCUGUUCUAAUACACCUUUCACAGCUUCUU